AUGUCCGACCAUUUCCCUCUAUACAGAACACAAAGUUCUGAUAUUAUUCCUCGUUAUAUGCACCACAUUUCUCAAACCAAGAAUCAAAUCGCCCUUAAGAAGCUCCAUGCACACCUUCUAACAACAGGCUUGCUUUUCAUAUCCCCUCAUUUUCACUCUAAACUCAUCAUUUCAUACUCCAAAUGCCUUCCCCAACACAACAACCUUCUGACACUGACCAACUUCUUCAAAUGCGUAAAAUCGCAAAGCGUACUACCAUUCAAUGUGUUAUUAUCCGACUGGUGCCGAAAUGGGUUUAAUUCACAUGCUCUCAAAACCUUGUCAUUCAUGCACAGUAGCCUUGUUCCUAUCGAUACCUCUGCUCUUUGUAGUUCCUUAACUGCUGCAUCUUCUAUCAAAGAUGUUGGCUUCGGUAGAGGGAUCCAGGCCCAUGUGGUAAAGUCAGGGUGGUGCUCCAGUGUCUUUGUUGGGAGUGCUCUGAUUGACUUGUAUGCGAAGUCAUUGCUUAUUGGAGAUGCAGACAAAGUGUUUGAUGAAAUGCCGAUGAGAAAUACUGUUUGCGCAAAUGCGCUUUUAUCGGGUUACGGUGAUGCCAAGUUGUGGGCUGAGGGAGUGGAGUUGUUACGGAAGAUGCCGGCACUGAGUAUGGAGUAUGAUCACUUCACUUUGUCCGCAGCAUUACGCGCCUGUGCUGGGCUAGCUGCUGUUGAAUUGGGUAGGCAGGUACAUGGCUAUUUGAUCCGUUCUGUUUGUGAUGUGGGGAGCGAUGUGUUUCUGUUGAGUUCCUUGAUUGAAAUGUAUGGUAAAUGUGGGAUGGUAGCAAAGGCUUGGCGAGUUUUCGAGUUUGCUGGAAAAGGAGAGGGGAAAAGAGAUGUGGUUAUGUGGACUUCACUUCUUGGUGUGUACGGUAGGAACGGAUACUAUAAAGAGGUAAUUGAACUGUUUACAGAUAUGUUGAUGGAAGGAAUUAAUCCAGAUGGGGUGGCGUUUGUGACGGUCAUCUCAGCUUGUGCUCAUACCGGUCAUUUGCAGCUCGGCAUUGAGUAUUUUGAGUCCAUGGAACUCGAGUUCAACUUGAAACCAAAUCCAGAACAUUACAACUGUCUAGUUGAUUUGUUCUGUAGGGCUGGUGAAUUGGGCAAGGCCUGGAAGCUUGUUGAUGAGUUGCUUAGUAAAGAUAACAGCAGCUGCACUGUUCCUAUGUGGGGAGAUUUGCUUAAUGGUUGCAAAGAUCAAGAUGAUCUUGAAUUGGGUAAAAUGGCUGCACAAGGGGCACUUGAGUUGAAUCCUCAUAAUGAUGGUAUUUAUGUCCUGCUGUCGAAUUUGUAUGCCAAAUUCGGAAUGUGGGAUGAGAUUGACCAUUUGAGGGGAUUGAUGAAAGAAAAGGGUUUAAGGAAAGAUGUCGCAUAUAGCCGGAUAGAAGUCACAAAUUGAUUAGCCUAAGUUCGAGUGUGUGAAUAAGCGAUGCAGAGUAUGGGGAUGGGUUUGCUGAAACUCCCCUCAACCUUUUGUCCUUUUGGCAUCAUAUUUUAGAAAGGAGAGGUUGAGGCAGAUUACAAUGCAUGUAGAAGCCAUGGGACUGCUUACUUUCAAGUUUUCAAUUUCAAGCAUCAUCUCCUUCAGAACAAUUUCAAUGCUUCCUUUAUCAGGUCACUGUCCCCAUCAUCUAUUCGAAUGAAUGCAAACUGUAGAAACAGGACAGACCUAGUGUAUUCUUCAUGGCAGUGUUCUUCAUGUAUUAGCAUAGGCAGCUUCCAAGGUACGAAUUCAGUUUCCUAAUGCAACAAUGUGUGCAAGUGAAUAGGCAAUUCUUAAAGCAUGACUACGGCCCAAAGCUUGCGAAACAGGAGCCUAUUCUGGAACCAUCCACAGAAGGCAGAGCCGCAGAGGCUUCACUGAAGGGUGUUAUGGUAAUUUAAACUGAAUAUAUUCUAAUUGGAGUGACUGAAGUACCCCUUUCUGCUCAGUAUAAGUGGUCGGCAAGGAGACAAAUCGAAAUACAGUCGUCGCAUACGAUAGCAGCUCGAGGGAAGCUUCGACACCGCAGUGGUCUGCAACUUGGCGCCAGAAACCCUAAAGAGUAAAGAGUAAAGAGAGAAGAGCUCUCUCUGUCUGCAAGGACACAUGAGCAAUAUUUGAUCUACCAUAAUGGAUGGUCCAGACCAGCCUGACACCAGCGCCCCCACCCCAAAACCUCAGCGCGCCAAGAUGGUUAAACUCGAAGACACUGAAAAGAAGGUACCAAUCACAUAAGUGGACUGUGUAUGUUCGUGGGGCAACAAAUGAGGAUCUUGGAGUGGUGAUAAAGCGUGUUGUUUUCCAGUUGCAUUCCAGUUUCAACAAUCCCACUAGGGUGGUUGAGUCACCGCCAUUUGAGUUAUCA